rnacentral:tRNA from 1 species
CGUGGUGUGGCUCAGUGGUAGAGUGCCUGCCUGAAAUGUGUGAAGCACUGGGUUUAAUCCUCAGCAUCAUAU